UACAGAGGUCUCAAGCGUUUGUUCGGAUUCAUUGGGCGUAAAGGGUGCGUAGGUGGCGCGGUAAGUCGGGUGUGAAAUUUCGGAGCUUAACUCCGAAACUGCAUUCGAUACUGCCGUGCUUGAGGACUGGAGAGGAGACUGGAAUUUACGGUGUAGCAGUGAAAUGCGUAGAGAUCGUAAGGAAGACCAGUGGCGAAGGCGGGUCUCUGGACAGUUCCUGACACUGAGGCACGAAGGCCCAGGGGAGCAAACGGG
rnacentral:rRNA from 1 species